rnacentral:rRNA from 1 species
CUUACACAUGCAGUCGAACGAUGAAGCUGGAGCUUGCUCCGGUGGAUUAGUGGCGAACGGGUGAGUAACACGUGAGCAAUCUGCCCUUGACUCUGGGAUAACUGCGGGAAACUGUAGCUAAUACCGGAUAUUUUCCUUGGUGGGCAUCCACUGGGGAAGAAAGAAUUUCGGUCAAGGAUGAGCUCGCGGCCUAUCAGCUAGUUGGUGAGGUAAUGGCUCACCAAGGCGACGACGGGUAGCCGGCCUGAGAGGGCGACCGGCCACACUGGGACUGAGACACGGCCCAGACUCCUACGGGAGGCAGCAGUGGGGAAUAUUGGGCAAUGGAGGAAACUCUGACCCAGCGACGCCGCGUGAGGGAUGAAGGCCUUCGGGUUGUAAACCUCUUUCAGUAGGGAAGAAGCGAAAGUGACGGUACCUACAGAAGAAGCACCGGCUAACUAUGUGCCAGCAGCCGCGGUAAUACAUAGGGUGCAAGCGUUGUCCGGAAUUAUUGGGCGUAAAGAGCUCGUAGGUGGUUCGAUACGUCGGAUGUGAAAAUCAGGGGCUCAACCCCUGACCUGCAUCCGAUACGGUCGAGCUAGAGUUUGGUAGGGGAGACUGGAAUUCCUGGUGUAGCGGUGGAAUGCGCAGAUAUCAGGAGGAACACCGAUGGCGAAGGCAGGUCUCUGGGCCAAUACUGACACUGAGGAGCGAAAGCGUGGGGAGCGAACAGGAUUAGAUACCCUGGUAGUCCACGCCGUAAACGGUGGGCGCUAGUUGUGCGAACCUUCCACGGUUUGUGCGACGCAGCUAACGCAUUAAGCGCCCCGCCUGGGGAGUACGAUCGCAAGAUUAAAACUCAAAGGAAUUGACGG